CGGUCUCAGUUCGGAUUGGAGUCUGCAACCCGACUCCAUGAAGCUGGAUUCGCUAGUAGUCGCGCAUCAGCCAUGGCGCGGUGAAUACGUUCCCGGGCCUUGUACACACCGCCCGUCAAGCCAUGGGAGCCGGGAGUGCCUGAAGUGCGUGACCGCAAGGAGCGCCCUAAGGCAAGACCGGUGACUGGGGCUAAGUCGUAACAAGGUAUC
rnacentral:rRNA from 1 species